rnacentral:rRNA from 1 species
GGGUUGUGAGGUUAAGCGACUAAGCGUACACGGUGGAUGCCCUGGCAGUCAGAGGCGAUGAAGGACGUGCUAAUCUGCGAUAAGCGUCGGUAAGGUGAUAUGAACCGUUAUAACCGGCGAUUUCCGAAUGGGGAAACCCAGUGUGUUUCGACACACUAUCAUUAACUGAAUCCAUAGGUUAAUGAGGCGAACCGGGGGAACUGAAACAUCUAAGUACCCCGAGGAAAAGAAAUCAACCGAGAUUCCCCCAGUAGCGGCGAGCGAACGGGGAGCAGCCCAGAGCCUGAAUCAGUGUGUGUGUUAGUGGAAGCGUCUGGAAAGGCGCGCGAUACAGGGUGACAGCCCCGUACACAAAAAUGCACAUGCUGUGAGCUCGAUGAGUAGGGCGGGACACGUGGUAUCCUGUCUGAAUAUGGGGGGACCAUCCUCCAAGGCUAAAUACUCCUGACUGACCGAUAGUGAACCAGUACCGUGAGGGAAAGGCGAAAAGAACCCCGGCGAGGGGAGUGAAAAAGAACCUGAAACCGUGUACGUACAAGCAGUGGGAGCACGCUUAGGCGUGUGACUGCGUACCUUUUGUAUAAUGGGUCAGCGACUUAUAUUCUGUAGCAAGGUUAACCGAAUAGGGGAGCCGAAGGGAAACCGAGUCUUAACUGGGCGUUAAGUUGCAGGGUAUAGACCCGAAACCCGGUGAUCUAGCCAUGGGCAGGUUGAAGGUUGGGUAACACUAACUGGAGGACCGAACCGACUAAUGUUGAAAAAUUAGCGGAUGACUUGUGGCUGGGGGUGAAAGGCCAAUCAAACCGGGAGAUAGCUGGUUCUCCCCGAAAGCUAUUUAGGUAGCGCCUCGUGAAUUCAUCUCCGGGGGUAGAGCACUGUUUCGGCAAGGGGGUCAUCCCGACUUACCAACCCGAUGCAAACUGCGAAUACCGGAGAAUGUUAUCACGGGAGACACACGGCGGGUGCUAACGUCCGUCGUGAAGAGGGAAACAACCCAGACCGCCAGCUAAGGUCCCAAAGUCAUGGUUAAGUGGGAAACGAUGUGGGAAGGCCCAGACAGCCAGGAUGUUGGCUUAGAAGCAGCCAUCAUUUAAAGAAAGCGUAAUAGCUCACUGGUCGAGUCGGCCUGCGCGGAAGAUGUAACGGGGCUAAACCAUGCACCGAAGCUGCGGCAGCGACACU